rnacentral:rRNA from 1 species
CGGAAUCUGCCUAUUUGUGGGGGAUAACGUAGGGAAACUUACGCUAAUACCGCAUACGACCUACGGGUGAAAGCGGAGGACCUUCGGGCUUCGCGCAGAUAGAUGAGCCGAUGUCGGAUUAGCUAGUUGGCGGGGUAAAGGCCCACCAAGGCGACGAUCCGUAGCUGGUCUGAGAGGAUGAUCAGCCACACUGGAACUGAGACACGGCCCAGACUCCUACGGGAGGCAGCAGUGGGGAAUAUUGGACAAUGGGCGCAAGCCUGAUCCAGCCAUGCCGCGUGGGUGAAGAAGGCCUUCGGGUUGUAAAGCCCUUUUGUUGGGAAAGAAAAGCAGUCGGUUAAUACCCGAUUGUUCUGACGGUACCCAAAGAAUAAGCACCGGCUAACUUCGUGCCAGCAGCCGCGGUAAUACGAAGGGUGCAAGCGUUACUCGGAAUUACUGGGCGUAAAGCGUGCGUAGGUGGUUUGUUAAGUCUGAUGUGAAAGCCCUGGGCUCAACCUGGGAAUUGCAUUGGAUACUGGCAGGCUAGAGUGCGGUAGAGGGUAGUGGAAUUCCCGGU